rnacentral:tRNA from 1 species
GGCUAUAGCUCAGUUGGGAGAGCGCCUGAUUUGCAUUCAGGAGGUCGUCGGUUCGAUCCCGGCUAGCUCCAU